rnacentral:rRNA from 1 species
GAUGAACGCUAGCGGCAGGCCUAAUACAUGCAAGUCGGACGGGAUUUGGGAGCUUGCUUCCAAUGGGAGUGGCGCACGGGUGCGUAACACGUAUGUAACCUACCUUAAUCAGGGGGAUAGCCUCUCGAAAGAGAGAUUAACACCGCAUAACAUGAUUGAAUAGCAUUAUUUAAUCAUCAAAUAUCUAUAGGAUUAAGAUGGGCGUGCGGGACAUUAGCUAGUUGGUAGGGGUAACGGCCCACCAAGGCGACGAUGUCUAGGGGAUCUGAGAGGAUGACCCCCCACACUGGUACUGAGACACGGACCAG